ACGAACGCUGGCGGCGUGCCUAAUACAUGCAAGUCGAACGCUUCUUUUUCCACCGGAGCUUGCUCCACCGGAAAAAGAGGAGUGGCGAACGGGUGAGUAACACGUGGGUAACCUGCCCAUCAGAAGGGGAUAACACUUGGAAACAGGUGCUAAUACCGUAUAACAAUCGAAACCGCAUGGUUUUGAUUUGAAAGGCGCUUUCGGGUGUCGCUGAUGGAUGGACCCGCGGUGCAUUAGCUAGUUGGUGAGGUAACGGCUCACCAAGGCGACGAUGCAUAGCCGACCUGAGAGGGUGAUCGGCCACAUUGGGACUGAGACACGGCCCAAACUCCUACGGGAGGCAGCAGUAGGGAAUCUUCGGCAAUGGACGAAAGUCUGACCGAGCAACGCCGCGUGAGUGAAGAAGGUUUUCGGAUCGUAAAACUCUGUUGUUAGAGAAGAACAAGGAUGAGAGUAACUGUUCAUCCCUUGACGGUAUCUAACCAGAAAGCCACGGCUAACUACGUGCCAGCAGCCGCGGUAAUACGUAGGUGGCAAGCGUUGUCCGGAUUUAUUGGGCGUAAAGCGUUCGCAGGCGGUUUCUUAAGUCUGAUGUGAACGCACCCGGCUCAAUCGGGGAUGGUCAUUGGAAACUGGGAGACUUGAGUGCAGAAGAGGAGAGUGGAAUUCCAUGUGUAGCGGUGAAAUGCGUAGAUAUAUGGAGGAACACCAGUGGCGAAGGCGGCUCUCUGGUCUGUAACUGACGCUGAGGCUCGAAAGCGUGGGGAGCAAACAGGAUUAGAUACCCUGGUAGUCCACGCCGUAAACGAUGAGUGCUAAGUGUUGGAGGGUUUCCGCCCUUCAGUGCUGCAGCUAACGCAUUAAGCACUCCGCCUGGGGAGUACGACCGCAAGGUUGAAACUCAAAGGAAUUGACGGGGGCCCGCACAAGCGGUGGAGCAUGUGGUUUAAUUCGAAGCAACGCGAAGAACCUUACCAGGUCUUGACAUCCUUUGACCACUCUAGAGAUAGAGCUUCCCCUUCGGGGGCAAAGUGACAGGUGGUGCAUGGUUGUCGUCAGCUCGUGUCGUGAGAUGUUGGGUUAAGUCCCGCAACGAGCGCAACCCUUAUUGUUAGUUGCCAUCAUUUAGUUGGGCACUCUAGCAAGACUGCCGGUGACAAACCGGAGGAAGGUGGGGAUGACGUCAAAUCAUCAUGCCCCUUAUGACCUGGGCUACACACGUGCUACAAUGGGAAGUACAACGAGUCGCAAAGUCGCGAGGCUAAGCUAAUCUCUUAAAGCUUCUCUCAGUUCGGAUUGUAGGCUGCAACUCGCCUACAUGAAGCCGGAAUCGCUAGUAAUCGCGGAUCAGCACGCCGCGGUGAAUACGUUCCCGGGCCUUGUACACACCGCCCGUCACACCACGAGAGUUUGUAACACCCGAAGUCGGUGAGGUAACCUUUUGGAGCCAGCCGCCUAAGGUGGGAUAGAUGAUUGGGGUG
rnacentral:rRNA from 1 species